rnacentral:rRNA from 1 species
CCUACGGGAGGCAGCAGUCGAGAAUCAUUCACAAUGGGGGAAACCCUGAUGGUGCGACGCCGCGUGGGGGAAUGAAGGUCUUCGGAUUGUAAACCCCUGUCAUGUGGGAGCAAAUUAAAAAGAUAGUACCACAAGAGGAAGAGACGGCUAACUCUGUGCCAGCAGCCGCGGUAAUACAGAGGUCUCAAGCGUUGUUCGGAAUCACUGGGCGUAAGGCGUGCGUAGGCUGUUUCGUAAGUCGGGUGUGAAAGGCGCGGGCUCAACCCGCGGACUGCACAUGAUACUGCGAGACUAGAGUAAUGGAGGGGGAACCGGAAUUCUCGGUGUAGCAGUGAAAUGCGUAGAUAUCGAGAGGAACACUCGUGGCGAAGGCGGGUUCCUGGACAUUAACUGACGCUGAGGUACGAAGGCCAGGGGAGCGAAAGGGAUUAGAUACCCGUGUAGUC